rnacentral:rRNA from 1 species
UCGGUUCACCGAGAAAUGGGAGUGGCGAACGGGUGAGUAACACGUGGGUAACCUACCCAUCAGCGGGGGAUAACACUUGGAAACAGGUGCUAAUACCGCAUAAUUCUUUUCUUCGCCUGGAGGAAAGAUGAAAGACGCUUUUGCGUCACUGAUGGAUGGACCCGCGCUGCAUUAGCUAGUUGGUGGGGUAAUAGCUCACCAAGGCCACGAUGCAUAGCCGACCUGAGAGGGUGAUCGGCCACACUGGGACUGAGACACGGCCCAGACUCCUACGGGAGGCAGCAGUAGGGAAUCUUCGGCAAUGGACGGAAGUCUGACCGAGCAACGCCGCGUGAGUGAAGAAGGUUUUCGGAUCGUAAAACUCUGUUGUUAGAGAAGAACAAGGAUGAGAGUAGAAUGUUCAUCCCUUGACGGUAUCUAACCAGAAAGCCACGGCUAACUACGUGCCAGCAGCCGCGGUAAUACGUAGGUGGCAAGCGUUGUCCGGAUUUAUUGGGCGUAAAGCGAGCGCAGGCGGUUUCUUAAGUCUGAUGUGAAAGCCCCCGGCUUAACCGGGGAGGGUCAUUGGAAACUGGGAGACUUGAGUGCAGAAGAGGAGAGUGGAAUUCCAUGUGUAGCGGUGAAAUGCGUAGAUAUAUGGAGGAACACCAGUGGCGAAGGCGACUCUCUGGUCUGUAACUGACGCUGAGG